rnacentral:rRNA from 1 species
AUUGAACGCUGGCGGCAUGCUUUACACAUGCAAGUCGAACGGUAACAGGCCGCAAGGUGCUGACGAGUGGCGAACGGGUGAGUAACGCAUCGGAACGUGCCCAGUCGUGGGGGAUAACGCAGCGAAAGCUGCGCUAAUACCGCAUACGAUCUCUGGAUGAAAGCGGGGGACCGAAAGGCCUCGCGCGAUUGGAGCGGCCGAUGUCAGAUUAGGUAGUUAGUGGGGUAAAGGCUCACCAAGCCAACGAUCUGUAGCUGGUCUGAGAGGACGACCAGCCACACUGGGACUGAGACACGGGCCAGACUCCUACGGGAGGCAGCAGUGGGGAAUUUUGGACAAUGGGCGCAAGCCUGAUCCAGCAAUGCCGCGUGCAGGAAGAAGGCCUUCGGGUUGUAAACUGCUUUUGUACGGAACGAAACGGUCCUGGUUAAUACCUGGGGCUAAUGACGGUACCGUAAGAAUAAGCACCGGCUAACUACGUGCCAGCCGCCGCAGUAACAC